GAUAGAGGAGAGCAGCCUUUUCCAGUGGUCACACCUGGUGGUCCUCAAAGAAUGUUGGCACCGCCUAGUGGCAGCAACCCAUUUAGUGCUGAUGUUUAUAGGGGGUCAGUCCUGUCAUCUUCUCCAGCUGUGCCUUUUCCAUCUACACCUUUUCAGUAUGUCUUUCCUUUUGGAGCCAAUUUUCCUCUACCCUCAGCAACACUUUCAGGUGGUUCAACAACAUAUGUGGAUUCAUCAUCUGGCGGGAGGCUUUGCUUUCCUGCUAUUCAUUCUCAAGUAUUAGCACCUGCUGGUGCAGUCCCAUCUCAUUAUCCAAGACCUUUUGUUGUUAGCCUCCCGGAUAAUAACAAUAAUGGAAGCACCGAGAGCAGCAGGAAAUGGGG
rnacentral:misc_RNA from 1 species